rnacentral:rRNA from 1 species
AGAACGAACGCUGGCGGCAGGCUUAACACAUGCAAGUCGAACGCCCCGCAAGGGGAGUGGCAGACGGGUGAGUAACGCGUGGGAAUCUACCCAGAACUUCGGAACAACUGAGGGAAACUUCAGCUAAUACCGGAUACGCCCUACGGGGGAAAGAUUUAUCGGUUCUGGAUGAGCCCGCGUUGGAUUAGCUAGUUGGUGGGGUAAUGGCCUACCAAGGCGACGAUCCAUAGCUGGUCUGAGAGGAUGAUCAGCCACACUGGGACUGAGACACGGCCCAGACUCCUACGGGAGGCAGCAGUGGGGAAUAUUGGACAAUGGGCGAAAGCCUGAUCCAGCCAUGCCGCGUGAGUGAUGAAGGCCUUAGGGUUGUAAAGCUCUUUCAGUAGGGAAGAUAAUGACGGUACCUACGAGAAGAAGCCCCGGCUAACUUCGUGCCAGCAGCCGC